rnacentral:rRNA from 1 species
AACGUAGGAGACAAACGUUAUCCGGAGUUACUGGGCGUAAAGGGCGUGUAGGUGGUUUCGUAAGUCUGGCGUGAAAUUUCUCGGCUUAACCGAGGCAGGUCGUCGGAUACUGCGGAACUUGAGGACGGUAGAGGCGUGUGGAAUUCCGGGUGUAGUGGUGAAAUGCGUAGAGAUCCGGAGGAACACCAGUGGCGAAGGCGACACGCUGGGCCGUACCUGACACUGAUGCGCGAC